rnacentral:rRNA from 1 species
UACAGAGGGUGCAAGCGUUAAUCGGAAUUACUGGGCGUAAAGCGUGCGUAGGUGGUUUUUUAAGUCAGGUGUGAAAUCCCUGGGCUCAACCUGGGAACUGCAUUUGAUACUGGAAAGCUAGAGUGUGGUAGAGGAUGGUGGAAUUCCCGGUGUAGCGGUGAAAUGCGUAGAUAUCGGGAGGAACAUCAGUGGCGAAGGCGGCCAUCUGGACCAACACUGACACUGAGGCACAAAAGCGUGGGGAGCAAACAGG